rnacentral:rRNA from 1 species
CAGCAGCCGCGGUAAUACGUGGGGUGCAAGCGUUAAUCGGAAUUACUGGGCGUAAAGCGUGCGCAGGCGGUUCGGAAAGAAAGAUGUGAAAUCCCAGGGCUCAACCUUGGAACUGCAUUUUUAGCUACCGGACUAGAGUAUGUCAGAGGGAGGUGGAAUUCCACGUGUAGCAGUGAAAUGCGUAGAUAUGUGGAGGAACACCGAUGGCGAAGGCAGCCUCCUGGGAUAAUACUGACGCUCAUGCACGAAAGCGUGGGGAGCAAACAGGAUUAGAUACCCCUGUAGUCCCUGUCUCUUAUAC